GACCUGCUAGGCAAGAAAAUUCACCAUCAGCGUGAGCCAAAGCCUUCCUGGAGCAUCCAGAGAUCCCAGGGUCUCUUCCAGAGAAACACACUCCAGUGACAGUGACCUUGCCCCAACACUUCAUGGGGGUGCAGCCAUCCCAAGUCCACCCUGAGAAACAAUCUUCAGGAGUGCAGGCUGCAUGCUGGCAAGCAGGGCCUGUGCAUUUGGAAUUAAAACUUCGUUCCUAAGCAGUUUCCCAAUAUUAAUGUACAGUGGAUGGUUUAAGGAAGGGUCAGGGAAUGUAAGCAACAGGUAUUUCUGAUGUAAACUACGGCAAGGGGGAGUGGCUUUAAAGUGAAAGAAGACAGGUUUAGAUUGGACAUUAGUAAGAAGUUCUUCCCUGUGAGGGUGGUGACAGGUUGCCCAGAGAAGCUGUGGCUGCCCCUGGAUCCCUGGAAGUGUCCAAGGCCAGGUUGGAUGGGGCUUGGAGCAGCCUGGUAUAAGGGAACGUGUUUCUGCUGCCCAUGGCAAGUGGGGAAAAAGGUAGUCUUUAAGGUCCCUCCCAACCCAACCGCUCCAUGAUUCUGUCCCCAGAGCAGAAGAAACCUCUGCCCUGAUCAGAAAAAGCUGAAAAACUUUUGUGCUGCCCUUUGAUCUAAGGGCUGUUGCAGGCACUGCAUGGCAAGGACCGUCCUCUCUGGGGACCCUGGCCUGGGCCCCAAAUCCUCAGAUUCCUUGGCACUAGAUGGAGCACGUGAGCUUCCACCAAGCAAAGCCAGAGGCGGCCCCGGAGAAGAUCCUGCACUGUCUGAUCAGCUCUGUUCAGCUUUGGUUUGCCUGUCCAGCCCUGCCGGGGAGGUACUGCGGCAGAGGGAGGUGGGGGAGCCUCGUUUUCCUCAGCAGAGCCUUCAGUUCAUGCUUGAGGGGCCCAUCUUAUUUCGGUCCUUUCCCUGCCCCUGGCAUCUCCUGCAGCUGGAUGGUUGUUGGCACCAAAGGCAGCAGGUUGUGGUGGAGGAGGAAGAAGAAAAGACCUGAUUGUUGUGGAGCAGAUUCCCCAUAAAUGGCAUCAUUCAGGAAACUUCACUUAGCCUGAAUACUCCUGCCUACUUCACAUACACCAGCAUAAAAUUGCAGUGUGCUUUUCCCAGUUACUGUAUAGAUUCCCCAUGAAGAUCUGGCAGGGAAGAAGUGGCAGAUUUGUUGAAGAUUCAAGGAGCCCACAUGAUGCAACCCCACUGCAUUCUUGCAGAGCAACGCCUGCUCCUGGGAGCUUCAGAAGGAGCCACUCACAUUUUAUUCCAGCUUCCACUGGGCUGCAUCCACACAUUAAAGCCUUCCCCAGGGUCACAUCCCUGUCCUGCCACAGCUCCUGGUGUUGCAGAGCCACAUUCCUGCCUCAGGGAUGUUAAUUUUAGAAACAAAACCCACUCUCUCUUUUCCUUUUCCGUCUCUUGUAAUUUGCAGGGAGGAAAGUUGUGGAUGGUCCAGUGAACUUUUCCCUGUUUCCCAUUUCAGAAUGAAGCUAGAAGGGCUUUUUCCUGGUCUUGCCAAAUGCAUUUAGAAACUCACAGGCAUGUUUAGUUUUGGGAACAGUCAUGCCUUUGGCAGUAAGAACAGCAAAUAUGGAUCCUGGAGCAAGGGAAGCUCCGUGGCUGUUGGAUGGGAUCUGCCAGCUGAAUCACACAAGGCAGAUCUGACUCAUCACAUCAGAGCUGCAUCUGCAGAUGUCCCAGGAUUUUAUAAAGUUGGCAAGGCUGAUUAUCCUCUGUAAAAGCUGGGGAGACUGAGGCAUGGAAGGUGAGUUUGGGGCGUUAUCAGAGACAGGCUGGUUUGUGCUGCUUUCCUUCUCCACAAGGAUGCUGAGGACUUGACAGGGAGUCCCAGAGGCAUCUUCUCCCUCUCUGCACAGACAAUCUGCUGAGGGCUGGGACCCCAGGAUGUGGAGUGUGAUUACCCCAGCUCCAAUCUCACCCAGCAGAGAUGGAUCUCAUGGCCAAGGGGCUCUCUGGAUUUAUAGAGCAGCCUCUGUAUCCUUGUCUUUUCUCCCUGCUCCUGGUUACUCUGCUGUAACGCCAGGCAGGAACAGGCUCUGCUUUGUGUUUUUGUAGCCUGUGGGACCAUGAUUGAUGCCUUUCUCCAAUGUGGAUGCCCAAACUGUGCUUCCCACAAUGGGAAGGGAUGCAGGAGCUGCCUCUCUCUGCACCUCCAGGGAGCACACUGCAAGCUCCUGGCCCAGCACUCAGCACACUGAACAUCUCCUUCAUGUCCCUGGAUCUGACAGGCUAUUCCCAACACUGGAGGAGGCAUCAGAGCUGCUGAAUUUGGCUUUGUACAGAAGGUCUCUUGUUCAGCCUGGGGCAGAGGUGCUUGGGAGAGGUGGGGUGGGAGGUUUAGAUGAAUGAGCAUCAUUGUUUCACUCCUGAUUCCCUUCAGGAAGGUGCUGGAUGUUUCCCAGCUGUGCACAAACAGCUUGGAUUCAGUCUUUGAAAUCAUUUGUACUUCUGUAAUCUAGGCUCUGACGUCAAGACCUGAAUCCCCCUGGGAUCACUCCUGGUUUGGGACCCAGGGGAUGCUGUGGUUACAAAGACACAUGUGAAUCAAAGCCUCUUACAGCUGCCGUCCUCCUCUCCUGCGUGGAUCUGCCUUAGCCCCAUCCAGUUGGGAAUUAUUUCAAGCUCCUUUGCUGCCUGAACACAGAGAAGCAGCAGCAAAGAACUUAAGGCAGCUCCUGAGUUUUGAACGUUUCAGGAUGCAAGUCAUGGCUGUAGUUCAGUGGGAAGGAAACACUCAAUGAACUUCCAAGGGUUUCUGUUGGAUAUGGAAUACCCAGUUCUGGUUGUUGUAGUUUCCAAUGACAAAGCUGUGUGCUGGACAUGCAAAAUAAUGGAGAAAAUGCAAUUUGUACAUUGUGGUGUCUUCAUUUUCCAAAUUCACCUCCCCAAAUUCAGAAAUACCUUCAGUGAUUGUGAUGGUGCUCAUCUUGAUGAAUUAAAAGUUUAACUAUGAUUUUCUUCCUAAUUCCAGUUAAUAGAGAAAUUGGAACUGCUGGAGGCAAGUUCAUCAAAUGUGGGAUGCACAAUGAAUCCACUCUGGGCUCUGUCUCUGAUUCACCACGUGACAUGAAUCUAGUAAUUUGCCUCUGCCUGAAGCUUUCCUGACUUCCCUGGUAUUUGCAGGAAGGUCCAUGGUUACCCUGUGGAAGCAGAUCUCCAGGAGAACCAUCCACCUCAUCCCUGGCGAGCAGAUCCGGGUUCCUCCACAGUUUCCCAGCAGGAUUUGCAGUAGAUGGUCGCAGACUGGAGAGCUUGGCAGCUUUUUCAGUGGUGCUGUUUGCUGCAGAAACUGGAUUUGUGUUUAUCCUAAGCUUGGUACUGAGAGCAGGAGCUGGAGGUUAUGGAUGGCUUCAUUCCUUCCAACUCUUUAUUUAAUGUGGGAAAAAAUGCCAGCAAAUAAAAGAGGCAUUUUCCUCAGCAAAUGGACGCUGUAAAGAACUGACUGGCUGGUGCUGGGAGUAUCUGCAGGAUUUCUGGAACCUCACGAGUUUGAAGAGUGUUUCCUCUUGGUGCCAGAAAAAAAGAUUUUUCCCUUGAUCUCACAAAAGGCUGAACUCUUUCUGCUGAAGUUAAAAGGCAAUCCUUAGGCCCAAAAGCAAGGAUGUUUAAAGUUUGGCAAAGGCACCAGACUGUGUUACAUGCCUUGGAAUAUCUGCAUCUGUCCCGUCCCCUUCUGCACAUCCACCCCCAAGCCUGCAUGAAAACAUAUCCUAAAGCUCUCAGUGGACCCACAACCAGGCAGCAAAUAAAAUGCUCCCACAGGAGAGAUUUUCAUCAGGAUUUAAGGUAAUCACAGUUCUCGGGCUUGUGAUUCUGAAAUGUCUCCUGUCAGCAGUGCUGGAAGGAGAAGCACUUGGCAAAAGGCUGCCAGCACAGCUGCCUGUACCUCAGCCCUGCAGCUCCUCUGCUGUGCUGCUCAUUGCUUGGGUCAGACUCUAAAUUCUGAUUUUUCAUCUCCAGUCUUUCCCUACUGCUGGCUGCAGCAGGAUUAUUUCUGCUUCUCUGAAGAGAAGAGCCAGCGACCUCUCAGCUUAGUCUGCCUCAGUAAAGAGAAGUCUGGCA